UCUGAUUUUCAUCAUAUUGACCUGUAUGAUUUUAGUUUGAUCUACAUACCAUAUACUUCAUCCAUUUCUGUAUGGUUUUAUUAUACUGUAAUUUAUGUAGCUAUCUUACAGUUGAAUAGCUGUACAUUUUAUCAUAAAAAUAUAAAAAGAAAUUACAGUUUAUUUGGGGGUUUUCUGUUUAAAUCAUAUCAUUUACAAGUUUGGGUAGACUUGGCUUUCUAACUCCUGUGAUUUUAGUUCCUGUUUGUCGUCGUAUCUAGCUUGCUGGAGUGUCUAGAGUUUAGCAGCUUCUCAUUGGCCUUAGAGGCAGUGAUCUAGGUUUUACCCUGGAGAAGGAUGCUUCUGAUAGGAGUGUUUCAUCACCCUUUUAUCCAGUUGAAUAUGUUUCCUCCUACUUUUUGUUUAUUGAAAAUUUUAUUUAUAAACAAGUAUUGUAUUGGAUAUGUCAUCUAAAUCUGAUGAAUAACAUUGAUUGAUAUUUUAACUAUGGAAAUAGUUUGAUCUUGGGUGUGUUUUUUCUUUCUUUGCACAUCAUUAGAUUUGAGUUGUUAAUAUUUUGUUUGGGAUCUUUUUUGUUCAUAUUCACCUAAGUCUGUCCUGUGCUCAGUUUUCCCUGAGGUCCUGUGAACUUUGGGUUUUAUAUAUUUUGAAGAUGUUAUUAGGAGCAUAUUAUUGAUAUGUCUCCUGGUUAAAUUUUUUUUAUUAGUAUACUGUGAUAUUUUAAAAAUCUAUCUCAAAAUUAAUUUUGUAUUCGCCUGAUUUAGCUAAUUUAGAUUUACAGGCUAAUGUUUGUUAUUUGACUUUUCCCUUGUGUAAGUUGUGUGUUUCUUACUGACUUUGUUACAGUUUGGUUUCAGACAUGAAAGUCGCACAUUCUAAGCGUACGUUCUGAUGGUUUUUCACUAGUGUGUACCAUCAUGCAGCCAUGACCACAAUAAGGAUAAAUAUCAUUUCCCUCCCAGCCAAAUGUUCCUCCUGCCCUUUAACCCUCUGCUUCCUGCCUUCCACCUCCGAUCUGUUUUUAUCUCCGUAGUUUCCCCUUUUCUUGAAUGUCACAUAAAUGGAUUCUCACAAUGUGUAGACUGUGACAUCUGCCUUGCACUUAGCAGCUUGCUGCUGCUGUCCGUGUUGUUAGAGUCUCAGUAUUUCAUCUUUUCACAUGUGAAUAGGCUUCCCUGGUGUGUACCUACCUGGCUUGCCUCAUCCAGCAGUAGCUGCACAUUUGAAUUAUUUCCCUGCGGAAUUGUAAAUCAAGCUGCUGUGAAUACUGACCUGUGACUCUUUGUGUGAACAGAUAGUUUGUUUUUAAAUUUUAACCAAAAGUAUACUUUGUUUCUGUUGCUGGGUUGUCCUCCUUGGCAACACUUGAGCCUCCCCGCUGGCUCUCCCUUCCUUUUGCCUUCUGUCUUGAUUUCCUUUGGGUUCUCUGUUUCUUUCCUGCUUCGUUUAGGUUGGAUGGGGUUUUACUUGGUUUUAUUUUCAUAAGUCUGUGUUUUAUCGUGAAACCAUCUUUCAGUACUUGCCCUAGGUCCGCUGGCAUCCUGUCUCACUUACAGUCUCACACUAUGUGGAUCAGCUCCACUUUUUCUCCACAACAGUUCAGGGAUCUUAAACUUUCUUAAUUGUGGUCACUUGCUUUUGCUCUAGUGGUUAUAUAAUUGCUUACAACCAUUGCCAUGGUUAUAUCAUUUUUAAUUUGUCUUAUCUUUAGGCAUUGCUCAUCACUCCGCUGCACAGUUUGUGGCUGUCUGGGGUUAGACAUACAUUGGCUCACCGUUUCUGCCUUAUUGCAGUUCGUUGCUCUUGGCUGUGCAUCCUGUAGAAGUUUCUUGGAUAACAAUGCUUUUUGAUUUAGAUUUCCUUAAUUUAUCUUUGUUUGCUCCCAAAUACAUUUCUAUUUGCUUUUGGUUAUGAAAGUUAGCUUUGCCAGCCAUACAGGCAGAAAGUAUAAUUUGCUCCCAGUUUUUAAAAGACAUUUCCCCAGGAUUUCUCAUCUUCCAGGAAAUCAGCCAUUAGCCCAUCAUCCAUCACUGGUAGCUAGCUACUCUGCCUUUUUCCCUGGCUAGUGACAUCUUAAGUAGUAGUCAGCUAUGUAGUCUGGUGAGGACCUCUUUUAUUUAGUAUCCACUUGGCUUCCCAGAUUUAGAGAGUCUGGAAACUUAGAGGAGAGAUCACCUCUCAUGCUGGCUCUCUGUCUCCAGCCUCCCUCUCUCUCUCUCAUGGUGUGUCUCUUCUCUGUUUGCUUGCAGGUUUGUGUAUACUUUCUAUACCACCAGCUCUACUUCAACUGCAUCUGAUUUGGUAUCAAACUCACUCAUUGAGCCUCUUAUUAAUUGCUAUUUUUUCCUUGAUUUAUUUUGCUUUUUAAAAAUAUGACUAAUCAUAAUUUGGUGGUUUUUAAAAAAAUUUUUUUGAAGUCUUUUCUUUCUCUGAACCUGUGUGUUUUUCACUCUGCACUGAGUCUGUCUGAUGCCUGCAGCCUCUGAGAAGCCGAGUCUACAGUUUGCUCUGCCUCAUUCUAAUUCAGGGUAGGCCUAGAUUCUUGUAUGGUGUGUGAAUUCUGCUUUGCUUUGUUUUGUUGUUUUUUUUUUUAAUUGUGAACUGAAUUUCUGGGAUCUCUGUGAAUGAAAACACUUUGAAACUUGGAUAAAAUUCAUUAUUCUGAAGAUGUAUUCCAUUUGCUUCUUCCAGAUGCUCCUCAGCUUCCUAUUGUUAUAUACAUAUAGAUAGAUAGAUAGAUAGAUAGAUAGAUAGAUAGAUAGAUAGAUAGAUAUAGAUAUAGAUACAUAUAGUUAUAUAUACAUACAUAUAGUUAUAUAUAUAUAUUUAUACAUAGUUAUAUAUAUAAUUUUUUAUUUCAAGUAGAGUGAGUAUGAGCUGGAAUUUUCUAAGGGUAAUUUCCCCCUCCCCUCCCCCUUCCAUUGCUUGCCUUUGCUUAUGGUCCAGGGGAAAUUUUUUCUUACCCACUGUAGAUUCCUCUUCAGAGUUAUUGGCUUUGGCGCUUGUAUCCUGCGUGUAGACAUUAAGCAUUCUUUGAAAGCACAACCUCCUUGUUGAUUAUCUAACACACCCCCAAUAGCCAUUAGCUCCUGCCUCCUGCUUCAGGGUUAACUGAACCCUGUGUUCUAGCUUUCUUGUCCCUUCUGACAGUUGUUAUUAUCUUAGAGUUGAACCAUCCCUUGCCUCCAGCUCACGCUGGUGUCUUUCAGGGCCCUUUGUGCGUAUACCACAUCCUGACAGUAGAAGUCCUCCUGAUUUCAGAGCUGAACUAUCCAAAUGGGAAAUGAUAAUGGCUGACUUAGAUCUUUUUCAUGGUUAUUUUUUAGUUCCGUGACAUUGCCUUAAUGGCACAGGAGACUGAUUCUCACUUAAGGACAGCUAGCACAUCCUUGACUAGAAAUCAAAACUCUGAGAUGCUUCAGUAUGGCCACUAAGAAAUUUUCGAGUUUUAGAGAAUUUUGGGUCUGGGAUUUCUACAAUUAGGGAUGGUUAAAUGUCCAAGAUCACACAGAUGUCCCCAAGUCUGAAAAGUUCUAAAAUAUGAUACAGUAUUGGUUUCUGGCAUUUAAAGUGGUUUUCAUAACUAUUAAUAUUUACUUUUAGAGGACUUUGUGUUCGUUUUUGAUCCACUGAAGCAGUGUUAUAAAAAAAUCUAUAAGGGCUGGAGAGCUGGCCCAGGAGUUAGGAACACUUGUCCUUGCAGAGGACCAGAACCUGAUUCCCAGCACCUGCAUGGCAACUCACAAGUAUUUAUAACUCUAACCCCAGGGGGAUCCAAUGCCUUCUUCCGACCGCCAGUCAUACAGACGUACAUCCAGGCAAAACACCCAAAU
rnacentral:lncRNA from 1 species